UACGUAGGGUGCAAGCGUUGUUCGGAAUUACUGGGCGUAAAGGGCUCGUAGGCGGCCAACUAAGUCGGACGUGAAAUCCCCAGGCUCAACCUGGGAACUGCGUCCGAUACUGGAUGGCUUGAAUUCGGGAGAGGGAUGCAGAAUUCCAGGUGUAGCGGUGAAAUGCGUAGAUAUCUGGAGGAAUACCGGUGGCGAAGGCGGCAUCCUGGACCGACAUUGACGCUGAUGAGCGAAAGCCAGGGGAGCAAACGGG
rnacentral:rRNA from 1 species